UGUCUCCGCCUCUCUCUUUUUUUCGUGAGGAAUAAAAUAUCUGUGAUCGAAAUAGAAUAGGUGCUCUUAGACAUAUAGGUUUAUAUCACUUAUACUAAUCAUCAUCAUUUUACCUUUAAUAUAUCCCCAUGAUAGGAUAGGAUUGCUACAGGCUGUCGGCCAACUCGUUCAUCAAUGCUGACUUUAAUAGUGAUUCGAGGGUAUUUAUGGGUUAGCAAAUUGCUUUUUUUGCUAUUGCUACAACUAUUACAAUGGUUUUUUCUUUUCUUUUUUACAUUCGCUAUUGUUAACCCUAUACAUCUGAAGACAUGUUAAUGUUAAUAUUGAUACAUUGGGAUGGAAUCUCCAUACCCACACAGGAAGUACUCUGUAACUACUUAUUUGUAGAUAUUUACCUCUGUAUAUUUAUUAUGUAUAUAUAUUUUUUCUAUCCUAUGUAAUGAAAGUGUAUCUUUGUGUGUGUUUCUUGCUCAGACGCCCCUCUGUGGAUGCACCGGGUACAUGUAUGAUCAGUAUUGUCGGUCUAUGAGGGUUAAUUUACGCCAACUAAUGUUCCCCCCAUAACAUAACUAUCAAACCCGCAGGCUCUCUUAUUUGAUAUUUUGAUAUCCGGUUGACAGCGGUAUUGGUCAAUAUUUUUUUUAAUAAUUGACAUGUGCUGCUUUCUAUGUGCAGAUACAGUUUCCAUUUUUCUUUCCCCUUUCUUUUCCCUCCCUUUUUGUUUCCUCUUUUUAUCUUAAAUAUCAUGUGCACCGUCUCUUCACUCACACUAGUGACACUAAACACACUAUUAUAUAUUAUACCCAAUGGAUCAUUAACGGGGCCUUUUUCUUCCAGUUUACUACUGGGGAUGAAUUCCCCUUUAUAACCGCUAGAUGGCAGCCCCAGCAUCAAUAUUAAUCAUCACAGCUAAGCCAUGCUAAAAAUCCCAAUUCAUCAUUGUGUGCCUAAUAUUCAUUGGGUGUUUGUGCCGUGAUGGCUAUUCUUGUGCGUUUUCUGUUUGGGCAUGGGGAAUUUUUGCUUUGUGCCCUGAACUUUGUGGGCCGUUUUGGGCGAUAUACCAUAUUAGUCCGCCUCAGUGGGAUCUCUAUUUAUGCGCCGCACUAUCGAAACGGCGCGCAUCUAUGACGUCAUCACGUUAUACGUCCAUGUGAUCCCACAGCCUAUAUAAACCUGAUGCUCAUGCAAUGGCGCUGUGUCACCGUGUGUACACCCUGGGACACAGACGCAUUGCUGCUGCAAUCAGUUAUAGGGCCUGUACAAAAGCCCCAUACAAAGGCUGCUACAGAAAGGGUUUCUCUAUGUAAGCCCCUCCACAUUGCUGUUAUACUGCCAUCUGUUGUCCCAGUGUGCUCAGGACUUCAUAAAAAUAGUCCGAGUAUUAACUCUUCCUGUGGUACAUAUCUUCCACCUUUUGGACUUGCAGUCUUGACUCUUUCGACUCACCUAAGAUUUUCGAUAUAUGGAAACUUGUGCCUAAAGCUUACCUUCCGACUUGGUAUAUUUCCAUCUUAUAUGCCCCGUGGACGCACCCAUCGAGGGACCACCAGCCAUGUAAAUACACACUAUGACACUUUUAUGCAUUGCAUUUUAUUUUAAUUCUAUAUUUUGAUUAAUAUUUUUGUUUGACUAAUAUGCCACACUGUAUCAUUG